rnacentral:rRNA from 1 species
CGUGCCUAAUACAUGCAAGUCGAGCGAGCGGAACCAACAGAUUUACUUCGGUAAUGACGUUGGGAAAGCGAGCGGCGGAUGGGUGAGUAACACGUGGGGAACCUGCCCCUAAGUCUGGGAUACCAUUUGGAAACAGGUGCUAAUACCGGAUAAUAAAGCAGAUCGCAUGAUCAGCUUUUGAAAGGCGGCGUAAGCUGUCGCUAAGGGAUGGCCCCGCGGUGCAUUAGCUAGUUGGUAAGGUAACGGCUUACCAAGGCGACGAUGCAUAGCCGAGUUGAGAGACUGAUCGGCCACAUUGGGACUGAGACACGGCCCAAACUCCUACGGGAGGCAGCAGUAGGGAAUCUUCCACAAUGGACGCAAGUCUGAUGGAGCAACGCCGCGUGAGUGAAGAAGGUUUUCGGAUCGUAAAGCUCUGUUGUUGGUGAAGAAGGAUAGAGGUAGUAACUGGCCUUUAUUUGACGGUAAUCAACCAGAAAGUCACGGCUAACUACGUGCCAGCAGCCGCGGUAAUACGUAGGUGGCAAGCGUUGUCCGGAUUUAUUGGGCGUAAAGCGAGCGCAGGCGGAAAAAUAAGUCUAAUGUGAAAGC